rnacentral:piRNA from 1 species
UGUAUGUGGACAUUUCUGCAUCUUACAUGC